rnacentral:rRNA from 1 species
GAAGCUGGAUUCGCUAGUAAUCACGCAUCAGCCACGGCGCGGUGAAUACGUUCCCGGGCCUUGUACACACCGCCCGUCAAGCCAUGGAAGCCGGGAGUGCCUGAAGUGCGUGAGCGCAAGCAGCGCCCUAAGGUAAAACCGGUGACUGGGGCUAAGUCGUAACAAGGUAAC